rfam:Aedes albopictus isolate Foshan contig82553, whole genome shotgun sequence.
UAGCCUAGUGGUUAAGGCUAUGGAUCGCCAAUCCGAAGACGGCGGGUUCGAUUCCCGU